GCUGUUCCACACCCCGAUACCCUCUCUUCCGAGGUAUAGCGCGCUGUUCCACUCCCCCGCGGGUCUAGGCGUCGCCGUGGUGGCGCGGGAGCAGGUGGACCGGGAGCUCCAGCCGGUACCUCCAGGCCGGGCUGGUUACCUACCUACCCCUACUUUGGGAUCGGGUUGUGGGUGGGUACCUACCUACCCCUACCCCGCUGCUGCCGCCACCGCCGCCGCCGGAAGAGAGCCACGAACGACUACACCACCUGUAGCUGCAGCCACUGCCCAACGUCGUGCAUCUGUAGUUUCCGACGCCCACACUGCCUCCUCGUGGUACCGCCCGCACGUCUGGUACCGAGCGAUACCUUCCGGGAAGGGAAGGGAGAGAGACAAGCCCGGUACGAGUCCGUCAGAAAAGAGAAGAGAAGGGCGUUUUUUUCAGAAAAGAGAAGUACUAGACUUGUACAACCUCCGGUAAUAAAGAGGUGACGGCCUCAGAUCGGAGGGAGGCACCCUACGGUACCUCUACUUUGAGGGGAGCUGCUUUCUUAAGUUCCCGUACACCCUCUCUCUCCACCAGGUACCUCUUCUUCGAGACGAGGUUGGGAGGGACGGAGGAUUAUGUUCUACAGAAAAAAACACACACGAACAUAACGUCGUCGGUACACGCAUAGUUUUUUUCCCAGGUCAAACGUCGUCAGUGUACUAUACCUGUACAAAAAAGUAGUGUUAACCUAAAAACCUAAAUGAUCCGAUU
rnacentral:rRNA from 1 species